rnacentral:piRNA from 1 species
UGCAUGUUGUUAAGGUGACCAUGGGAUC